rnacentral:misc_RNA from 1 species
AACGCAUCUUGCGCCCUUUGGGGCAUGCCUGUUUGAGUAUCAUUUAAAUUCUCACCCCUUCGAUUCUAGUUUCGGCUAGAGUUGAUGGUGGUGGAUCAAUGAGGUUCCAGUUCUAACGAGUUGGUGCCUUGAAAGUUAGCGACCUUGGUUUGGGUUCAUGCUUGAAACCAUCUCGAAGCGAGAAUCUCGUAUUCUUGGGAUUUGGUUGAGUGAACUUUGUUUUUAAGCCGGUCACCAAGCAGGGGACGAGGUCCUCUUCAUCUUGGUCUCAAAUCAGGCAAGACUACCCGCUGAACUUAA